UACGUAGGGGGCAAGCGUUGUCCGGAUUUAUUGGGCGUAAAGAGCGUGUAGGCGGCCAGGUAGGUCAGCUGUGAAAACUCGAGGCUCAACCUCGAGAUGUCGGCUGAAACCAUCUGGCUAGAGUCCGGAAGAGGAGAAUGGAAUUCCCGGUGUAGCGGUGAAAUGCGCAGAUAUCAGGAAGAACACCCGUGGCUAAGGCGGUUCUCUAGUACGGUACUGACGCUGAGACGCGAAAGCGUGGGGAGCGAACAGG
rnacentral:rRNA from 1 species